rnacentral:lncRNA from 1 species
UAACACCUAGAGGAAAGGUGUCCUGGCCAGAGGGAAGAGCCGGCGCAAAGGCCCCGAGUUUGCAGGAAUGACACGUGUACAAGCCGGCGGGCGGCCGCUGCGAACCGGGUUCUGCGGUGAGCGGGGCGCCGGGGCUCGGCCUGGGGCCACCUCCGCCUGGGGACGUCGUGGAGAAGCCGGGCUCCAGGGCCCCAGCCCCGGCCGCCAGGCGCCAUCGCAGGCGGGGCAGGGAGCCGGGGGUCCCCGGCAGCGGCGCGCGGGCGUGGGCGGCCGCACCCACUCCGGCCCGGGCCGCACGGCCGCCCGCACUUGCCCUCUGGCGGCGGAAGCGCGCAGCGCGUGUCGAGCAGGGAACCUGGACCCGUUCAGCUUCCAUUUCAGCGUGCUGCUGUCUGGGUCUCCUUGGGCACCGCGACGAACAGCGCGAGGACAGGACCCAGCAGACCGUGGGGCGCGUCGGGCAGCGGUUCCCAGUGCAAGUGUCUUUUGCUGCUGACCGACCUCAGACCCGGCCCUCCUGGAGAUCUCCUCUCCCUCGGGAUCCCUGUGGCCUCCUACCCAGUUCCCACGUAGCCUGACCCACCAGGACCAGGUUGGGAGCUUUAUGAAUUUUAACACGUUAGGAUAGCCGUCACUACAACAGGAUACAAAAUGUUUCCAUCGCCCCAAAAAACUCCCUCCUGCUGGGGCUUUAUAGGCACAGCCCCCCGUCUGAGCCCCGGCAGCCACCGCUCUGCCCUCCGUCACCACAGCUCUACCUUUUGGAAUGUCGUACAAAUGGAACCAGACUGUGCGACCUUGGGGACCAGCUUCUUUCACUCAGCGCGAUGUCUUCGAGAUUCAUCUGGGUGGUUGUGUGAUCAAUAGUUUGUGUCUUUCCGCAACUCCCCAGUGUUUCCUGGUGUAGAUGGCCACAGUCUGUCUGCCCAUUCAUCCAUGAAAACAUAUUUGGGUUCUUUCCAGCUCUUACAAAUAAAGCUGCUGCCAGUAUUCACUACAAGUCUUUGUGUGAACAGACAUCUUCAUUCCUCUAGGCUGAAUGCCCAGGGGUGGGGUUGCGGCAUCCUAGGAUAAGCAUGUAGCUGCAGUCAUAGGAAACUGAGAAACCGGUUUCCAGAGCGCCUACCUCAUGUUGCACUCCAAGCCUCAACAUGUGAGGGUUCCAGUUGCUUCACGUCCUUGUCAGCACUUGGUAUUAUCAGUAUUUCCUCUUUUAGUCAUUCUGAUGAGCGUGGUGAUAUCUCCUCAAGGUUCUAAUUUGCAUUUCCCUAGCGGCUAACUAACGGUGUUGAACACGUUUUCAUAUGCUUGUUUGCCAUCUGUACAUCCUCUCUGGUGAAGGGUCUGUCCAAGACCUUUGCUGUUUGUAAAUUGUGUUGUCUUUCUUGUGUUGAGUUUCGAGAGCUCUUUUAUGUUCUGCAUACAAGUCCUUUUCAGAUAUUUGGUUUGCAAGUACUUUCUCCCAAACUGUCUCUUCUCCAUCAUUCUCUUGACAGUGUCUUUGGCUGUAAAAGGGUAAAAGUUUUUAGUUUUGAUGAAAUGUAAUUUAGCUAUUUUUUUUCUUUUAUGGGUCAUGCUUUUGGUGUCAUUUCUACAAACUCUUUGAUUAACCCCAUGUCAUGAAGAUUUGCUCCUACUUUUCCUUGUGAAAGUUUUAUAGUCCAUGUUUGACAUCGAGACCUGGACUCUCUCUGGGUUUGUCUUUACACAAGGUGGGAGGUCUAGGUCAAGGUUCAUCUCUCUGAAUGUGGAUGACCAGUUGUUUCAGCACUGUUUACUGAAAACCCUUUUCUUUCUCCACUGAGUUGCACUUGCACAGUUGUCAGAGAUUUUUGUGGGUCUCUUUCUGGACUAUCUUCUGUUCCAUUGAUCUGUGUUUGCACCUGUCACUUCACCAACACUAUGCUGUCUCAAGUCCCGUGGCUGUGCAGGAAGUGUUAAAAUCAGGCAGCGAGAUUCCUACGACUUUGUUCUUCUUCAAAUUGUUUUAGUUAUUCGAGUUCAUUGCCCUUCCACAAAAAUUUUAGAAUUGGCUUGUCCACAUCAACAAAAAAAUCUUUCUGGAAUUUUGGCUGGUAAUGUGUUAAACCUAUAAUCACUUUCGGGAGAACUGACAUCUUAACUAUGCUGAGUCUUCAAAUCCAUGAACACGAAACCGUCCACUUCUGCAUUUGUGAUGCAUUUGCGGACAAAUGGCAGGAGGAUGUAGAGGAAAAAAGGCUGCCAAUAAGCGAGUUCACCAAGGUUCCAGGAUCUAAGAUCAAUACACAAAAACCAACUGCAUUUCUAUAUGUCAGCAAUGAGCUACCCGAAAUGAAAUUGAGAGAACAAUUCCAUUCACAACAGCAUUGAAAAGAAUAAAAUACUGAGGGGUAAGUUUCACAAGAGGAGUGCAAGACCAUACACUAAACCACACAGCAUUUCUAAGAGCUAUGAAGGAACCUCUAAGUGAACGGAGAGACAUUCGAUGUUCGCGGAUGGGAGACCCAGUACUGUUAAGAGGGCAAUACUCCUCAAGUUGAUAAUGCAAUCCCUACCAAACUGUGAGUGGAUCUUUGGGGGGUGGGCAGAAAUUAGCAAUCUGACUAUAAAAUUUCUAUGAAAAUGCAAGGACACAGAAUAACCAAAACAAUUUUGAAAAGGAACCAAGUUGGAGAAUUUACAGUUUCCAAUUUUAAAACACUAUAAAGCUACAAGAAUAAAGACAGUGUGUUCUGGCACAAGAUUGACAUAUAGAUCAAUGGAACACAACUGAGAGUCCAGAAGUAAACCCAUAGACUUUUGGCCAAUUGAUUUUUGAUAAAGGUGACAAGGCUUUCAAAGGGGAAAAGGAUACUCUUUUCAACAAAUGGUGCGAUGACAAUCAGAUGUCCACAUGUAAGAGGAACUGGACCCUUACCUCACACCACACACAAAAAUUAACUCAAGGGGGCUGGCCUUGUGGCCGAGUGGUUUGGUUCGUGCCCUCUGCUUUGGCGGCCCAGGGUUUCACCAGUUUGGAUCCUGGGCGUGGACAUGGCAUCACUCAUUAAGCCAUGCUGAGGUGGCGUCCCACAUGCCACAACUAGAAGGACCCACAACUAAAAUAUACAACUAUGUACUGGGAGGAUUGGGGGAGAAAAAGCAGGAAAAAAAAAGAAGAUUGGCAACAGUUGUUAGCUCAGGUGCCAAUCUUUAAAAAAAAAUUUGACUCAAAAUCAACAGUAAACCUAAAUGUAAGAGCUAAAGCCAUAAAACUUUAAAAAGGAAACAUAAGAGAAAAUCUUUGCGACCCUGCGUUCUUCGGUGUUCUUAGGUGCAACACCAAAAACAGGAUCUGUGACAGAAAAAAUAGACAUGCUGGACUUGAUCAACAGUAACAAUUUUGUGCUUCAAACAACAGUAGAAAGAAAAUGAAAAUUGGUCUAAACCAUUUCCAAAUCAUGUAUGUAAAAAAGAACUUGCAACUCAAAAAAGAACACUUGCAACUCAAAAAU